UAAUUAAUUGAUAAUAUUAAAUUUUUAGAUUAAAAUUUAUAAGGUGAAAUUUUAAAUUUUUAAAAAAAUUUUUUUAGUUAAUGAGGUUGAGAAAUUUAAAUAGUAGACUAGGAUUAGAUACCCUAUUAUUUUAAAUGUAUAUUUUUAAACUAAAUUAGUAUUAGUUAUGUUCUUGAAAAUUAAAAAUUUUGGCGGUAUUUUAGUCUAUUCAGAGGAACCUGUUCUGUAAUUGAUAAUCCACGAUUUAAUUUACUUUUUUUAUUAAUUUGUAUAUCGUCGUAAUUUGAAUAUUUUAUGAGAAAUUUAAUAUUCAAGAUUUUAAAUAAGAAAAUAAAUCAGAUCAAGGUGCAGUUUAUAAAAAAGAAGAAAUGGGUUACAAUAAAAUUAUUUGUGGAUUAUUAUUUUUAUAAUAAUAUGAAUUUGGAUUUGAAAGUAAAUUUAAUUAAUUAAUUAAAUUGAUUUUAGCUCUAAAAUAUGUACACAUCGC
rnacentral:rRNA from 1 species